CUAAACUACAGCAGACACAGAGGACAAAUAUUGUAUGAGUCCGCUCACACGAGAUGCCUAGAGGAGCCAAAACCACGGAAACAGAAAGUAGACUGGGGCCUCAUUGAGAUGCCAGAUUGCUUCUUCAAGACCCUCCAAGGGGGCACGUCAAAUUCUGAUGGGCCUCACCUUGGACAAGGCUGGGGUUUUUAGACCAGCUUUCACAGCCUGGUUGCUCCAGUGUCAAGACUGACAGUGAUCCAGGGACCUUUAGGGCAGACAACUUCAUUGUGACAGAAUGAGACCUGUGGCCUUUGGACCUCGGUGGGGCCAUAUGUCACCCCUGCAGGCCCCAGGCCCCCCAAGCCACCAAGAGUCACAGAGGCAGGGAGGGGACAGGAGGAGAUCUUGCCCCCACUGCAUCUGGCUCUCCUGCCCUCACCAUCCGCAGCAGGGGGUACACUACAGCUUCGGCUUUACAAACACAGGGAAAAAGCUAACACAACCUUUAAGCCGCAUUAACAGGAUCAAGGGAUGUAUUAUUAGUCCUGCUAGCCUCCGAACCAUUGAGAGUACUUCUGAAAGACAGUGCUUACUUAGCUUGGGCUCCAGAUUUUAAGAGACCCGUUAAUAAUUUGGAAGGUUUAUUAGCAGACUGCAGAUCCAAAAAUGGUCCUCCUCUAUUUGGGAAGAUAUUGCAGGAAACAAUGCUCUAGGAGAGACCACAGCUGGGCCAGCCAGAUUGGUCAAAUCCACCCUAGAAAUGAAUUAGGGAGAAGAGAUGGCAGCCAGAUGGCUUUUUAAAUGUUGAUAAGCUGAAGUGUGGCCAGAAAAAGAGACCAGAGAAUGAGGGAAUAAGUCACCUAAAGCAUGAUGGCAGAAUCUAAGCAUAAACGCUUAGCAGAGAAAAUAAACACACCGUCCAUAUACACCAUGCCCAGCCCCAAGCCCAGGGCAGAUCUGAUACUCUCCUGCUGACCCUGACACAGCCUCAGAAUACUUCUCAACACAGACCGCCAGCUGUCACUGCAAUCCAGCACAGUUGGCACAUCAGGAGAGAGGCAUCUUGCAGUUCCACUCAAGAAAGACUUUCCUAGCAAGACUUUCCAACAAUGCAAAUAGUCUCAUUUCUGAGGUGGUCAGCCCCUUACUGCAGGAAGUUCCAAUCAGAAGCCUCAUGGUUGUCGAGGACUCUGCAUCAGAUGAGGGGGCUUGAGUAACUUUACCCCAUGAGGAAGCAGAAG
ensembl:lncRNA SRGAP3-AS3 SRGAP3 antisense RNA 3